GGCUACAUCACAUUGAAAUACUGGUUCCGAUACGAUCAUUGAAGUUAAGCAAUGCUGAACCUUGCAAGUACCUAGAUGGGUGACGGCUUGGGAAUAACAGGUGUUGUAAG